UUCUUCGAGUGAUUGCUCAUGUGUAUUCCACAAUAGGUGAUUCCAAGCUAUAUCUGUUGGAGGCGGGUAGGAGUUCCCAAAUUCUUGGGAUGGAGCACAGGCCUACCAAACCCGGCGUCGUCCCUGGUCUGGGAGGUGAACCUGUGAACUGAAGACCAUGUGGCAACUCUGCAAAUGUCCUGAAUGGGAACAUGGGCUAAAAAGUCAGCCAACAAGGCUUGCGCCCUAGUGAGUGUGCCCUCACAAUUGAUGGCUGGGGGAUUCCCGCCAGGUCAUAACAGGUACGGAUGCACGAGGUGAUCCAGUUGGAGAGCCGCUGAGUGGAGAUCAGCUGACUCAUCAUGCAUUCGACCAAGGCAAUGAACAGCUGCAAAGACUUCCUGAAUGGCUUAGUCCACUCCAGGACCUUGCCGAUGAGUGGGAACCGGGGGGAGGCAUAGAGCAACUGGCCUGACGAGGAUAGGAGGAAGGCAUCAGGGAUAGCCCAGCCCAUCCCCAUCCCAGCCCCCCUGGAUCAGAACCGGGGACAGCGACAGUUCCUUCGAGUUGCAAACAGGUCCACCUGGGGAGUUCCCCACUCUUGGAAAAGUCUGUGCACCAUCUAUGGGUGAAGAGAUCACUCGUGCUGAGAGGAAAAGUCCCUGCUCAAGUGAUCCGCCUGCGAAUUCUGGGCACGCAGCCCAGAGUGGCGCACGUGGACAAAGGAGCGCCACUUGAUCCUGUACCUGCGAACAGGAGCUGCCCUUGACCAGCCAGGCAUCCAGAUAGGGGAAAAUCUGGACCCCACGGUGCCUGAAGUAGGCCACCUCCACAGACAUACACUUUGUAAAUACCCUGCAGGCAGUGGACAGGCCAAAUGGGAGGACCGUAAAUUGGUAGUGUUCCUGUCCAACUGUGUAAUGGAGGAAGCAUCUGUGCCCCUCGAAUAUAUGGAUGUGGAAGUACGCGUCCUGCAGAUUGAGGGUAGCGUACCAGUC